rnacentral:lncRNA from 1 species
AUCAUCAAUCUCAACACAAAACGCUAGUUUUGGUUAAAGCUAGAGUAAUUGGAUAAAACUUUCAAUUUUGUUGAUACUAUAAAGGUCUAUUGUUCCCACCAAAUAAGAAAGAAAAUAUUUGCACAGUUCCUACUCGUUAGCAUGAUUAACGAUGAAAUUAAAUGCCAUCAUUUCACCAAGAAAAUCAGAGAAUAAACUAUUAUUAAAAUUAGGUAAUUUCAAUAUGGAGUACCUAGUCAUGCUGGCC